CGGAUGGAAGCCCGCUGGUUUGGGUUUUUAGCUGUUAACUAAAGUUUCGCAGGAUCGAGGCCUGCCUAUCUAG
rnacentral:tRNA from 2 species